GAUGAACGCUGGCGGCGUGCCUAAUACAUGCAAGUCGAACGAAACUUCUUUAUCACCGAGUGCUUGCACUCACCGAUAAAGAGUUGAGUGGCGAACGGGUGAGUAACACGUGGGCAACCUGCCCAAAAGAGGGGGAUAACACUUGGAAACAGGUGCUAAUACCGCAUAACCAUAGUUACCGCAUGGUAACUAUGUAAAAGGUGGCUAUACUACCGCUUUUGGAUGGGCCGGCGGCGCAUUAGCUAGUUGGUAGGGUAAAGGCUUACCAAGGCAAUGAUGCGUAGCCGAAUUGAGAGGUUGAUCGGCCACAUUGGGACUGAGACACGGCCCAAACUCCUACGGGAGGCAGCAGUAGGGAAUCUUCCACAAUGGGCGAAAGCCUGAUGGAGCAACGCCGCGUGGGUGAAGAAGGUCUUCGGAUCGUAAAACCCUGUUGUUAGAGAAGAAAGUGCGUGAGAGUAACUGUUCACGUUUCGACGGUAUCUAACCAGAAAGCCACUGCUAACUACGUG
rnacentral:rRNA from 1 species